UGGUUUUAUUUUCAAAAUGUUUCAGAAGUUAUUCUACUAUAAAGGAACAUGGCUGAACAGUUAGGAGACUGACCCUCCUUUGUGGGUUCUCCUGAUAGCUUCUGCAAGGAUCAUGGAGAUGUCAGACACCUGUAUUUUGGAGCAAUGCUUCAACUCAUCCUACUGAGGUCUCCUGGUUGCUGAAUUUCUUAGUCACCACCUUGCCUAGCUCCAGGCUUAGGCGGUCAGCAGUUUUCUGGGAUAAGUCCUGUUGGGAUAUCCUGCUGAAGAUUUUGAUGUUAGGCAUCUUGGGCAACUACACAAAUGCGCCCUUCGCUCAGUGGUCAUCGCUGGUGCAGAGAUUGGAUCCGAAGUAAGCUGGUAGCCUAUACACCUACAGCACCGCUGCUGCUCAGCCAUCUUACAUUCUUGGAGCACACAGCUCUAAAUCACACACUGAGCACCAAGCGAGGAGGCGGGAUCACAGAUCACAAAGGUAUCUGGUCCAGCUUAAGCAGCUGAGAAUGGAUGCCCGGAUGGCCCCACUUCUGCUUUUCAUACUGACUGAUGAGACUGAAGAUGACCACCAGAGCAUGCCACAGAACUGCCAAGGAGGCUACAGAAGUCAUCUAAGAGUUUCUUGUAUGAGAGGAGUUCAAGGUUGGCUUGGAGAAUUAGGCAUUAUAGGAGGUUUUGGAAGUUGCCAGAAGCCUUGCCUCACAGCAAGCCACUGUUCAUGGACCUAAUGUAAAUAUGUAUUUUGCAAACAGAAUUGGAAAUGGACUUCUCUCCAGAGACUCCAGGCAAAAGCCCAGAGAGGCCAGAAGAGGGCAUUGGAUCCCCUGGAAUGGAAGUCAAACAUCAUUGUAAGAUGAGUCAGUCUUGGAUAUCAGCACACCGUGCAUGUAUUGGCUUUUUAAAUUUCCAUUUUGACAUCAUAAUGAUCUCUCCAUAGAGUUACAC
rnacentral:lncRNA from 1 species